rnacentral:lncRNA from 1 species
AUACGACCUUCAGCUUGCGUUAUUGUGAAUUAUGGUUUUAUAUCUAAUCCUUUAUCAUAGGAGAAAAUAAAGUAUAUAAUUUUUGCUGAAAGUGAUACAGGUAAUAUCCUCAUCUAAUGUAACCCUCAUUACUCCCACAUUUUCUUCUUCUAACCUUUAUUUUACUAAGUAAAUCAGUUAAGAACAAAUUCUAAUUUUCAAUUAUGACCUAGGAACAGUGGGUUAACUGGCUUGUUCAUGGGCAGAAUGACAGAUUUUUACCUUGUCAGCUUGGGAUUUGAUCUUGCAACCUUUUGGUAACUAGUCCAGUGCGCUAACCACUAAGCUACCUGCCGCUCCACCUCCCUUGGUCUGCAGCCUCGACUCCCAUGGGAGAGUCGUUUGUUCCCGCUGUGUGAGGAUGAGGUUCUGAGGUGUCAUGAAGAGGAGCAGCAGGAGCCUCGCUAGGAGGAGAGAGAUAGAAGGCAGAUUCCACCGGCAGCACAGAUGACAGCAGCAGCUCUGUUCAGUCACCCCCAUUCUCAGCCCUGUCUUCAGCCCUGUCCAGUAUAUCACCACCACCUGCUGGAAAUGAUGAGAACAACACCCUUACCGCAGUCCCCUGAAAUGACUUGGCUUUACCAUGGCACAGAUCCCUUCAGGAGUUUAGGAGACCCAAAGGGACCCAAAGGGACAGAGAUACAAGAGGAGCUCUGAACUCCCUGGAGUAGAUGUCACACAUAAUGUGUACCUCAUUUUAAUGUACACUUGCUACAUUUCCUAAACACAGUGAUAUUUUAUUUGGAUUCAAAUGUUUUGGAGGAGUGUUUUAUUUAUUUAAAACAUUGUGAUUUGUUUUAUUCCUUUCAGUUCCUCUGCUGUAUUUUAAGGUUUUGGAUGGGAUUGUAAAAUGUAAUUUUUUUUAAAGUUACCCUGACCUGCAUUCAUAUUGAAGAUCUGUGUACUAGUGCACAAUCGAUCGUAACCUUGGCUGACCAUGUACCACAGUAUGUAAAUAGUUGUUGCCUGUUAUUAAUUUUACGUUUCAAGACGUGUCUGAUAAUGCAGUCUUAACAUAUACAUUACCGUUCAAAAGUUUGGGGUCACUUAGAAAUGUCUGUAACGGUUGUCGUAUGAAGAAGGUGUGGACCAAAGCGCAGCGUGGAAAGUGUUCAUGUUAUUUUUAUUUAAACUGAACACAACACAAAAUAACAAGAGAAUGAACGAAAACUAAACAGUCCUGUCACGUGCAGAAACACAAAACAGAAAACAACUACCCACAACCCAUAGUGGGAGAACAGGCCGCCUAAGUAUGGUUCUCAAUCAGAGGCCAGCUGAUUGAAAACAUAGAACACAAAACAUAGAAUGCCCACCCCAACUCACGCCCUGAACAAACUAAAGUAGAGACUUAAAAAAGGAACUAAGGUCAGGACGUGACGAUGUCCUUGUUUUUGAAAGAAAAGCACAUUUUCUUGUCCAUUCAAAUAACAUCAAGUUGAUCAGAAAUACAGUGUGGACAUUGUUAAUGUUGUAAAUGACUAUUGUAGCUGGAAAUGGCUGAUUUUUAAUAGAAUAUCUACAUAGGCGUACAGAGGCCCAUUAUGAGCAACCAUCACAAAACUGGCCUUCUUUAGACUAGUUGAGUACCUGGAGCAUCAGCAUUUGUGGGUUCGAUUACAGGCUCAAAAUGGCCAGAAACAAAGAACUUAUUUCUGAAACUCGUCAGUCUAAUGUCUAUUCUUGGCUAGAAGGCCAGAAUCCCGGAGUCGCUACUUCACUGUUGAUGUUGAGACUAGUGUUUUGCUGGUAAAAUUUAAAGAAGCUGCCAGUUGAGGACUUGUGAGGCGUCCGUUUCUCAAAUUAGACACUAAUGUACUUGUCCUCUUGCUCAGUUGUGCACCGGGGUCUCCCACUCCUCUUUCUUUUCUGGUUAGGGCCGGUUUGCUCUGUUCUGUGAAGGGAGUAUUACACAGCGUUGUAUGAGAUCUUCAGUUUCUUGGCAAUUUCUCGCAUGGAAUUGCCUUCACUUCUCAGAACAAGAAUAGACUGACGAGUUUCAGAAGAAAGUUAUUUGUUUCUGGCCAUUUUGAGCCUGUAAUCGAACCCACAAAUGCUGAUGCUCCAGAUACUCAACUAGUCUAAAGAAGGCCAGUUUUGUUAGCUGUGCUAACAUACUUGCAAAAAGGUUUUCUAAUGAUCAAUUAGCCUUUUUAAAUGAUAAACUUGGAUUAGCUAACACAACGUGCCCUUGGAACACAGGAAUGAUGGUUGCUGAUAAUGGGCCUCCGUACGCCAAUGUAGAUAUUCCAUUUUUAAAAAUCUGCCAUUUCCAGCUACAAUAGUCAUUUACAACAUUAAAAAUGUCUACAUUUUAUUUCUGAUCAAUUUGAUGUUAUUUUAAUAGACAAAAAAAAAAAAAAAAAAAAAUGUGCUUUUCUUUAAAAAACAAGUACAUUUCUUAGUGAUCCCCAAACUUUUGAACGGUAGUGUGUGGGAGCGUGCGUGCAUAUUUUUUAUUUUUUAUUUAUUUAUUUCUUGGUAAGCUGAUUUUUUUUUUCUCCAUACAAUUUUUAUACAGACCAGACAGUAAGGUUUUUAGUUGGUGUACUGCUUGUCUGAGUUUGACAGCGGUGUCAUCUCUGUUGAUGACUUUAAAAUCAUUCAGGUCACUGUUGUCUGACUAUUGUUGUCACAUUAUUAAGGACAAAACAGACUGCCGACAAACGGUUAAAAGCAGCGGGGGGGGGGGGGGGGGGGGGGGGGGGUUGUCUUACCGCAACCGACCACAGAACAUCGGAUGCCAGUUUCUGUUCAUGUCCCCAUGAUUCUACAGGUAAACUUUUGUGCUGGCAGAGGUUCAUUAAGGUGUCUCUGUACUACUGUAUUGAGCAGUCAAAACAGUUACUGUGUAAUGACUGUUUUACCCGUGCUCAACAAAGUGUGGCAGUGUUGUCUUUUAUAAGAAUGUAGUGGGACACAAACUUGUUAAGUUAGAGGCCUUAAAAGUAGUUUGUGAACAUACCAUUUUAACCUUCAGUAGCAUCAGCAUGAGGUGUGUCCCAAAUGUCAUCCUCUAGAGCUCUACUUUUAUCCAGGGCCCAUAUGACUCAGGUCAAAAGUAGUACACUAUGUAGGGAAUAGGGUGCCAUUUGGAAGGCUAAUUGCAGGCAAGUAGUGCUCAAUGUUAUCAGCUCCAACUGAGGCAGGCUUGGAGAACAAGGGUGGAGGAGGGGGGUUGUAUCUAAUGAGAUUCAUUUUCCUCUCCUUCAUUAUCCCUGACCUGUAAACUAGGGGAGCCAUUGCCCUUAUACCAUCUGUUACGGAUACAAGUAUCCUGUGUGUGUAUCCUGUGUGUGUGUGUGUUUCUUUUCUCUCCUUCUCCCCUCACAGGUGAAAAUCAUCACUCCCCAAUCAGUCACCAACCCAAUCAUCAAUCAGAAGACACACCUCCUCCUAAUUCCAACCCAAUCACAGUUCCUUUCCCUUGGUUUAAAAACCCCAUCAGUUGUUUGCUCUAGAGCUCAAUCUCUCUGUAAGUGCCAUGUCUGUAGGUCACUCUCUCUUUGUGUAUUAACCGCUCUUGUUUGAGCACCUCCAUAGCACUUUGUCAUCACCUGUGAGUAUUGUUUUUGCUUAUGGUGUUUGCUGGUGGGAAAAGGGGAAACCAAGACAAGUCGCCCAUGGGCAUACACUACCCGUAGGUAGACUUUGUUAAAUACACUAGUUAGAACUGGGCGGACCACCCACUGUAUUUUUGGUUAGUUAGCUGUUGUUAAAGUAGGCUAGUCUAGCUUAGGUUUUUUUUUUAAUACUUAUUAUUUCUUUCCUUGGGUCCAGCUCAGCCCCUUUUCCUGCUCCCCCCAUUACCGUGUGUUUAUUAAUAAACCUUGAGUUUGACAGAUUUCAGUUGUCGUGGUUAUUUCGUUCACACUUUUACUUUGUCACUAUUAGAAUUUACAUGGGUUGUUACGGGUCUCAAUACCAUUCCCCCCCCCUAGACUGUCGGGCCAAAAAGGGAUUCGUAACA